AUUGAACGCUGGCGGCAGGCCUAACACAUGCAAGUCGAACGAGUGGCGGACGGGUGAGUAAUGUCUGGGAAACUGCCUGAUGGAGGGGGAUAACUACUGGAAACGGUAGCUAAUACCGCAUACCCUCGGAUGUGCCCAGAUGGGAUUAGCUAGUAGGUGGGGUAAAGGCUCACCAAGGCGACGAUCCCUAGCUGGUCUGAGAGGAUGACAAGCCACACUGUGAAUCAGACACGGUCCAGACGCCUACGGGAGGCAGCAGUGGGGAAUAUUGCAAAAGGGGCGAAAGCCUGAAUGAGCGAUGCCGCGUGUAGGAAGAAGGCUUUCGGAUUGUAAAGUACUGUCAGUGGGUAGGCGUUACCCGAAGAUGAAGCACCGGCUAACUACGUGCCAGCAGCCGCGGUAAUUC
rnacentral:rRNA from 1 species